UAGUUUGUCCGCGAUGCCAGAACUAUC
rnacentral:sRNA from 1 species